rnacentral:rRNA from 1 species
CGUGCCAGCAGCCGCGGUAAUACGGAGGAUGCGAGCGUUAUUCGGAAUCAUUGGGUUUAAAGGGUCUGUAGGCGGGCUAUUAAGUCAGGGGUGAAAGGUUUCAGCUUAACUGAGAAAUUGCCUUUGAUACUGGUAGUCUUGAAUAUCUGUGAAGUUCUUGGAAUGUGUAGUGUAGCGGUGAAAUGCUUAGAUAUUACACAGAACACCGAUUGCGGAGGCAGGGGACUAACAGACGAUUGACGCUGAGAGACGAAAGCGUGGGGAGCGAACAGGAUUAGAUACCCUGGUAGUCCACGCUGUAAACGAUGGAUACUAGCUGUUUGGAGUAAUUUGAGUGGCUAAGCGAAAGUGAUAAGUAUCCCACCUGGGGAGUACGCACGCAAGUGUGAAACUCAAAGGAAUUGACGGGGGCCCGCACAAG